rnacentral:rRNA from 1 species
CCUACGGGCGGCAGCAGUAGGGAAUAUUGCUCAAUGGGGGAAACCCUGAAGCAGCAACGCCGCGUGGAGGAUGAAGGUUUUAGGAUUGUAAACUCCUUUUGUUAGAGAAGAUUAUGACGGUAUCUAACGCAUAAGCACCGGCUAAAAACGUGCCAGCAGCCGCGGUAAUACGGAGGGUGCAAGCGUGACUCGGAAUCACUGGGCGUAAAGGGUGCGUAGGCGGGGUAAUAAGUCCGAUGUGAAAUCCUGGAGCUUAACUACAGGACUGCAUUUGAAACGGUUACUCUGGAGUGUGGGAGAGGUAGGUGGAAUUCUUGGUGUAGGGGUAAAAUGCGUAGAGAUAAAGAGGAAUA